CAAACCAAAGCUGGCGACCGGCGCACGGGUGAGUAACACGUAUCCAACCUGCCUCAUACUCGGGGAUAGCCUUUCGAAAGAAAGAUUAAUAUCCGAUAGCAUAUAUUCCCCGCAUGGGUUUUAUAUUAAAGAAAUUCGGUAUGAGAUGGGGAUGCGUUCCAUUAGUUUGUUGGGGGGUAACGGCCCACCAAGACUACGAUGGAUAGGGGUUCUGAGAGGAAGGUCCCCCACAUUGGAACUGAGACACGGUCCAA
rnacentral:rRNA from 1 species